rnacentral:lncRNA from 1 species
AUAUAUUUUACUCGAGUGAGGCUACUAUGCUAUCAGAAGCACGGAGCCUUCCGUGCUUUCAGCUCGAUUUCGAUGUUGCGACUUUCAAAUCGUUGAUCGGCUCCGUUAAACAUGAUCUAGAGUAUUUGAAGUACCUAGAAAAUAAAUUUUAUUAUUUUUCGAUAUCAUUUGCCUAGUGAUCGUAGGGGCUCAAAAUCAACAAAUUUCAAUAGUCGUAGUGAGCCGUUUGCAAGUUUAACGGUGUAGAAAUAUCCAAAUCACGUGAAAUUUUGAUAGAAAAUUCUUUAUAUUAUAUAAAAUAAGAUCAAUAUCUUUGAUUUAAAAUUUUAAUGUCAUAUUAUCACAUUUUAUAAGAUUUUUAUUUUCAGCCGUUGAUUUUGAGCCCCUUCGUUCACUAGGCAAAUGAUAUCGAAAAAUAAUAAAAUUUAUUUUCUAGGUACUCCAAAUACUCUAGAUCAAGUUUAACG